rnacentral:rRNA from 1 species
UGCCUACGGGGGGCAGCAGUAGGGAAUCUUCGGCAAUGGGGGCAACCCUGACCGAGCAACGCCGCGUGAGUGAAGAAGGUUUUCGGAUCGUAAAGCUCUGUUGUAAGAGAAGAACGUGUGUGAGAGUGGAAAGUUCACACAGUGACGGUAACUUACCAGAAAGGGACGGCUAACUACGUGCCAGCAGCCGCGGUAAUACGUAGGUCCCGAGCGUUAUCCGGAUUUAUUGGGCGUAAAGCGAGCGCAGGCGGUUGGAUAAGGCUGAAAUUUAAGGGUUUGGCCCCACC